rnacentral:rRNA from 1 species
UACGGAGGGGGCUAGCGUUGUUCGGAAUUACUGGGCGUAAAGCGCGCGUAGGCGGCUUUGUAAGUUAGAGGUGAAAGCCCGGAGCUCAACUCCGGAAUUGCCUUUAAGACUGCAUCGCUAGAAUCAUGGAGAGGUGAGUGGAAUUCCGAGUGUAGAGGUGAAAUUCGUAGAUAUUCGGAAGAACACCAGUGGCGAAGGCGACUCACUGGACAUGUAUUGACGCUGAGGCGCGAAAGCCAGGGGAGCAAACGGG